UACGAAGGGGGGCUAGCGUUGCUCGGAAUCACUGGGCGUAAAGGGUGCGUAGGCGGGUCUUUUAAGUCAGGGGUGAAAUCCCGGGGCUCAACCCCGGAACUGCCCUUGAAACUGGAGAGCUAGAAUCUUGGAGAGGCGAGUGGAAUUCCGAGUGUAGAGGUGAAAUUCGUAGAUAUUCGCAAGAACACCAGUGGCGAAGGCGGCUCACUGGCCCGAUACUGACGCUGAGGCACGAAAGCGUGGGGAGCAAACAGGG
rnacentral:rRNA from 1 species